UAGGAAAACAGAAAAGAAGAAAUGAGUAAUACGUAAAUUACCAUUCGUCGUAACAUUCAGAUAUCUUACAUACCUAUGGCAAGAAGAUUUGAACAGGAAGGAGACUGGGAACACCAAGUCGUUGUAUACGGGCGGACAUUAAGAGGCAAUCUAAUAAACAGAAGUUAGAAAGAGACAUAAACGAAAUAACGCUGAACGUACUGAUACUGGUUAGAGGAAAGAGUCAUGACGAAAAAUAGUUUUCAAAAAAAACGGAAAGAAUGAACGCUUUAUUGUGCAGACAAUAAAAAGAUAAAGAAAUUAAAAAUGCAUUUAUAUAUACAAAUGGAAAAAGAGAAGUUUCGGCCACGUUUUCUAGUGAUAUGGUGUUGCAGGUAACUAGUGGGUUACGUGAAUUGGAUGAAGCUGAAGAAAACGUUCUACCUUACGGAGCCAAAACUACCACCAUUAAUUUACAAAAAAUCAAACGAAAACCUAUACAAAGCAGUUUAGAUAAUGAAACACGAUAAAUAUAACCAUUUUAAUGCAAUUACU